UAUCCUGGCUCAGGAUGAACGCUGGCGGCGUGCUUAACACAUGCAAGUCGAGCGAAGCACUUCAUCUUAAUUCUUCGGAUGAGAGAUGAUUUGACUGAGCGGCGGACGGGUGAGUAACGCGUGGGCGACCUGCCUCAUACAGGGGGAUAACAGUUAGAAAUGACUGCUAAUACCGCAUAAGACCACAGUACUGCAUGGUACAGUGGUAAAAACUCCGGUGGUAUGAGAUGGGCCCGCGUCUGAUUAGCUUGUUGGCGGGGUAACGGCCCACCAAGGCGACGAUCAGUAGCCGACCUGAGAGGGUGACCGGCCACAUUGGGACUGAGACACGGCCCAAACUCCUACGGGAGGCAGCGGUGGGGAAUAUUGCACAAUGGGGGAAACCCUGAUGCAGCGACGCCGCGUGAGCGAUGAAGUAUUUCGGUAUGUAAAGCUCUAUCAGCAGGGAAGAAAAUGACGGUACCUGACUAAGAAGCCCCGGCUAACUACGUG
rnacentral:rRNA from 1 species